CCGGGUUAAAAACUUAAGUGUUCUACCGACAUUCACGAAGAUCUCUUCUCGAAUAUCUCUUCCCAGUCAAUCGUAGUUAUGUUCUGGAACUCUCCUCGCUCCCCGUGGAUCACACGGACUAUAUAAAGCGCGACUUCAACAAACCUUUCUCCAGCCUCUCGCAUUUCCAGAUCUUUCUUCUAGAUUUCCAUUUCCAAUGGCUUCUAGUGAUCAAGAUGUAACACUGCUCAGCUCUUGGGCCAGCCCCUUCUCGAUGCGAGCCAAGCUUGCACUGUUGCUCAAGGGCAUCGAGCACGAAGAUCUCCCCCAGGAUUUGGGCAACAAGAGCAAGAUCCUGCUCGAGUCCAAUCCAGUUCACAAGAAGGUCCCGGUUCUCAUCCACAAGGGCAAGCCCAUCGCAGAGUCGGCCAUCAUCGUCCACUACAUCGACGAGGUUUGGCCUGGAACAUCGCCACUCUUGCCGAAAGACGCAUUCCUCCGCGCAGAGCACCGCUUUUGGACCGAUUUCAUCGACAAGAAGCUGCUGGACUGCUUGAUGCGUUUCGUGCGCGGGAACGACAAAGAUGCCGCAAACGAGGAAUUCAUCGCCAACUGCGUGUUUCUCGAGGGGGCCUUGACGAAGCUGGGGAGUGAACAAGAGGGUCCCUUCUUCGGCGGCGCGAGCUUCUCCUUCUUAGAUGUGAUGCUCGCUCCCUACGCCCCCGGGGUUGUGGGAGUGAUGGGCUUGAAGCAUGCCAGCGAGGAGCAGUGCCCGCGUCUCCACAAGUUCUUCGAGGCCGUGUCCGAGCAUCCCGCUGCCAAGGGCGCACUGCCCCCGGUCGAGAAGCUCAAGGAAUUAAUCCGAAAUAAGUAGAAACCUUUGCAUGAAUAACACUUUUCCAGCCAUAUCUUGAUUGAGCAUAUUGAUAGCUAAAACAUUGAUCAGAUAACAUAAUGACAAUGUCACUACUGUUUGGAUUGAUCGCAUUCUAGAAUUCUACUGUUCUCUCGAGACCUCAUUUUCCAAUCCAUUCCGGAUCCAUGGAAGGCGUGACGCUGCUCAGCUCCCGGGUGAGCCACUUUUCUCUGCGAGUAAAGAUUGCAUUGCUACUCAAAGGCAUCGAGCACGAUGAUCUCCCCCAGGAGGGCCAGCUCCUGCUCGAAUCCAAUCCAAUCCACAAGAAGGUCCCGGUUCUCAUCCACAAUGGGAAGCCCAUUGUGGAAUCGGUCAUUAUUGUUCAGUUCAGUACAUCGACGAGGUCUAACGCGGAGAAUCUCCACUGCUGCCUCCGGACGCUCUCCUCCGCGCAGAGUAUCGCUUCUGGACGGAUUUCAUCGACAAGAAGCUUCUGGAUUGCUUGAUGCGAUUCAUGCGUGGAGACGCCAAGAACGAGGAGUUUAUCGAGAACUGCGAGCUUCUCGAGGGAGCAUUCACGAAGCUGGGCAAUGAGGAAGAAGGCCCAUUCUUUGGCGGAGUGAGAAUGUCGUUCUUGGAUGUGAUGCUCGCCCCCUACGCGGUGUGGAUCCCAGGGAUUGCGGGCGUGAUGGGCUUGAAGCCCGCGAGCCAGGAGCAGUGCCCGCGUCUCCACAACUUCUUCCAGGCCGUGCUCGCGCAUCCCGCUGCCAAGCUCGCGCUGCCCACAGUCGAGGCGCUCAAAGAGUUUCUCGUGGCUCGCUCCGCGGUGUACAGAGGAAAGUGAUAGAGAGAAAAAAGAAUAUGCUUAAUUUUA